AUCGAUGAUCACGACUAUGACACCAAGAUGAAGAAGGUGUUCGAGUUCAUCGAGGAAGGCGACAAGGUGAAGGUGACCUUGCGUUUCCGCGGGCGCGAGCUGGCGCACGGCCAGCUGGGCAUGCAGGUGCUGCAGCGCGUUCAGGCCGACACGAUCGAAGUGGCGAAGGUCGAACAAUUCCCGCGCAUGGAAGGCCGCCAGAUGCUGAUGGUGCUGGCGCCGAAAUAAGCUUUGCGGCGCGGCCUUGCGCCGCGCCCCUUGCGGGGCCAAGACGGGGCUAUGCGUA
rnacentral:misc_RNA from 1 species